CGCCCAGACUCCUACGGGAGGCAGCAGUGGGGGAUAUUGCACAAUGGGGGGAACCCUGAUGCAGCGACGCCGCGUGGGUGAAGAAGCGCCUCGGCGCGUAAAGCCCUGUCAGCAGGGAAGAAAAUGACGGUACCUGACUAAGAAGCCCCGGCUAACUACGUGCCAGCAGCCGCGGUAAUACGUAGGGGGCAAGCGUUAUCCGGAUUUACUGGGUGUAAAGGGAGCGUAGACGGCAGUGCAAGUCCGGAGUGAAAGCCCGGGGCGCAACCCGGGGACUGCUCUGGAAACUGUGAAGCUGGAGUGCGGGAGGGGGAGGCGGAAUUCCUGGUGUAGCGGUGAAAUGCGUAGAUAU
rnacentral:rRNA from 1 species